GACGAACGCUGGCGGCGUGCCUAAUACAUGCAAGUCGAGCGAAGCGGCGGAUGGGUGAGUUACGCGUGGUUAACCUUCCCUUAAGUCUGGUAUACCAUUUGGAAACAGAUGCCACUUCCGGAUACUAACGGAUGUACCUUCGAGUCAUUAGCUAGUUGGUAAGGUAACGGCUUACCAAGGCGAUGAUGCAUGGCCAAGUUGAGAGACUGAUCGGCCACAUUGGGACUGAGACACGGCCCAAACUCCUACGGGAGGCAGCAGUAGGGAAUCUUCCACAAUGGACGAAAGUCUGAUGGAGCAACGCCGCGUGAGUGAAGAAGGUUUUCGGAUCGUAAAGCUCUGUUGUUGGUGAAGCGGUAAUCAACCAGAAAGUCACGGCUAACUACGUGCCAGCAGCCGCGGUAAUUC
rnacentral:rRNA from 1 species